rnacentral:rRNA from 1 species
GACUCACGCGGGAAUCUUACCGGGUCCGGACACACUGAGGAUUGACAGACAAAUAUGGAAAUUUUAUAUUUCUCAUAUAUAAAGAUGCUAGUUCUUUCAUGAUUAUGUGAUAGGUGGUGCAUGGCCGUUCUUAGUUCGUGGAGUGAUCUGUCUGCUUAAUUGCGUUUCAAUUUUUAUUAUGUAUACGUAUGACCCACGUUUACGCGUGCGAGUCUAGUAUGCUAUCAUUUGAAAGCAACGAACGUGACCGUAUCCUUUUAUUAUAUACGCACGCGUAUAUUUAUUCAUUAAAGGGACCGCUGUUUCUUUUUUUAAACCAGAGGAAGGUUACGGCAAUAACAGGUCUGUGAUGCCCUUCGAUGUUCCGGGCUGCACACGUGCUACAAUGAUUAUUUCAUUAAGUAUCUACUAUACUGCACAUUAUGUGUAUUAAAACCUACCCUGAGAAUGGGCGGGUAAUCAAUUAGAAGUAAUGAUUUCCUUUUUUUUAUACGCAACUAUGUACCGUAUAUUACAUCCCAUAAUAUUUUUUUAUUAUGCG